UAUUUCAAAUGUGUCAAAUAGGUUUACAAACUGACAGGUCGGGCCAUCAGUUUGGUCUGACAGUUUGCUGACUCAUUUGGUGGCUAAAUAUAUCCAAUAGUAACCAUGAAAGUUGCUAUAAUAUAUCUGAGUUCGUUGUUGAAGUACAUGGUAGAAAUUACUAAAAUGGGGUUAUAUGAUAUUCAUCAAGUUAAUUAAGUCACUUCAGGUUUUUUGAAACAAAAAUGUACUGAAAUAUCAACACUACAGCUUUUUAAUAAAGCUUAGGUAAUGUAUAUAAAAGCAUUUAGUAAUACCUGAAACAUAUUAAAAGCCCACAAUCACAGCAUUUCCUUUCUUUUCUAGUGUUCCUAAUCUGAAUGCAUACUAAUUUACCAACAUCCUUCAAGGGAUCCUGAUUUUAAUUUCACAAAAGUCAUUUCAGUUGUGCUUGACUGCGAUCUACUAAACAAAUGAAGUUAUUAGACACCACCAACAACAAAGGCAUCACCUGGGGAGAGGAGACACUGAUGGCACAUUUGAAAAAUCUCAAGAAGUGCAUCCCUGGAACUAAAAAGUGAUCUUCCCUGGCAUUGAGAAGACAAGGCAAAGAACAGGUGUGAAGUUUAUCUCAAAAAAUGUACUAAGGAGUAAUAGUUGGUUGGCCACUGCCUUAUUUAUUACAAAAUAAAAAUGGCUCAUGACUUUUUUAAUGUAUACUGCAUUUAAAUUGAUCUUGUACACCAGAAUUCAGAUCAUGAAUGGCUGAUAGAAUAUUUCUCUUGGACAGUCUUAAUUUAAAUAAGAUUGACUUGUGGUUAAGUGAUCAGCUCUUUGAACUUUGAUAGUAAUUCUGGUUCAGCACAUUCAGAUUUUCACAGAGAUGGUAAAUACCAUCUCUAAAUCUGUAGGAGACUGGUUUUGUAUUUAGAUUUAUACAACUGGCUAUAAUAAUAUAUUUAAAUACUGACGAAACCCCUUCACCUGCCUCAUAGAACAGUAAGACUCAGCUGUGAUUCAAACUGUGUUCAUUUGUCUGUUAAAGGCAAGGGUUGAAGAUAAGCUGGUGAUGUCCACCUUAUCUCUGGUCUUAACUACGCCAAUCUAAUUAAAAUUCCCUGCAUCUAAAAUAUUGCCUUUUGCUGAAUGAAAGGCAUUUUAGUGUGAUUUAUGCAUAAUAUUAAAUAAAGAAUAUUUAACACUUCCCACAUUUUUAGAUGACUUAUAACGUUAGAUACUUUUAAAACUCAGUAUGACAAGAUAUAGUAGCAAACUUGUUCAUUCUUUAAGUCAGACUAAAUUAUAAUCAAGGUUGUCUUCUAAACAACUAUCCACAACUGUAGAAUUCUACACAACUGUAGAAUUAGUACAUGUAUGAUUGGUAAUGGUGCUUCUGUCAACUCGUUAGAAGGAUUAAUGUAGAAGAAAUAGAUAAUCGGCACAAAUUUGUAAAAUAUGUGAUAAGAUAAUUAAAAACAAAAUCAUAGAUAAAGAAAGCAUGGAAAAUUUUUUUGUUUUGCUUAGAGAAAGAUUUCGUAUAUUGAAAGCAUUACGUUAAAAAGAUUAAAAUGAAUAAAGCAUUAAAGAAAAAAAAUAUAAAUUGAAUUUCAUCAAAAUCUAAAACUUCUGCCUUUGAAAGACCAUAAAGGAAAAGACAAGAG
rnacentral:lncRNA from 1 species